CCUACGGGGGGCAGCAGUAGGGAAUCUUCCACAAUGGGCGAAAGCCUGAUGGAGCAACGCCGCGUGGGUGAAGAAGGUCUUCGGAUCGUAAAACCCUGUUGUUAGAGAAGAAAGUGCGUGAGAGUAACUGUUCACGUUUCGACGGUAUCUAACCAGAAAGCCACGGCUAACUACGUGCCAGCAGCCGCGGUAAUACGUAGGUGGCAAGCGUUAUCCGGAUUUAUUGGGCGUAAAGGGAACGCAGGCGGUCUUUUAAGUCUGAUGUGAAAGCCUUCGGCUUAACCGGGGUAGUGCAUUGGAAACUGGGGGACGUGAGUGCAGAAGAGGAGAGUGGAACUCCAUGUGUAGCGGUGAAAUGCGUAGAUAUAUGGAAGAACACCAGUGGCGAAAGCGGCUCUCUGGUCUGUAACUGACGCUGAGGUUCGAAAGCGUGGGUAGCAAACAGGAUUAGAUACCCUGGUAGUC
rnacentral:rRNA from 1 species